rnacentral:rRNA from 1 species
CCUACGGGCGGCACCAGUGGGGAAUAUUGCACAAUGGGCGCAAGCCUGAUGCAGCCAUGCCGCGUGUAUGAAGAAGGCCUUCGGGUUGUAAAGUACUUUCAGCGGGGAGGAAGGCGAUAAGGUUAAUAACCAUGUCGAUUGACGUUACCCGCAGAAGAAGCACCGGCUAACUCCGUGCCAGCAGCCGCGGUAAUACGGAGGGUGCAAGCGUUAAUCGGAAUUACUGGGCGUAAAGCGCACGCAGGCGGUCUGUUAAGUCAGAUGUGAAAUCCCCGGGCUUAACGUGGGAACUGCAUUUGAAGCUGGCAGGCUUGAGUCUCGUAGAGGGGGGUAGAAUUCCAGGUGUAGCGGUGAAAUGCGUAGAGAUCUGGAGGAAUACCGGUGGCGAAGGCGGCCCCCUGGACGAAGACUGACGCUCAGGUGCGAAAGCGUGGGGAGCAAACAGGAUUAGAUACCCCAGUAGUC